rnacentral:rRNA from 1 species
UACAGAGGUCCCGAGCGUUGUUCGGAUUCACUGGGCGUAAAGGGUGCGUAGGUGGCAUGGAAAGUUUGAUGUGAAAGCUCAGGGCUUAACCCUGAAAUGGCAUUGAAUACUGCUGUGCUGGAGGUUUGGAGGGGGGACUGGAAUUCUUGGUGUAGCAGUGAAAUGCGUAGAUAUCAAGAGGAAUACCGGUGGCGAAGGCGGCAUCCUGGACCGGCAUUGACGCUGAGGAGCGAAAGCCAGGGGAGCAAACGGG